AGCAAUUGGUGUCAUUUCUCAGGAGGAUCUGUGGAUGCCAAAGUGAGCAGUGCCGAUGAUGGCAAAGGCUCAGCAGAAACACGGAG